rnacentral:tRNA from 4 species
GCUGACAUAGCUCAGUCGGUAGAGCACCUCAUUGGUAAUGAGGAGGUCGGCAGUUCGAUUCUGCUUGUCAGCUCCA